GAUGAACGCUGGCGGCGUGCUUAACACAUGCAAGUCGAGCGAGAAGUUUUGAAAAGAUUCUUCGGAUGAAAUUUAAAAUGGAAAGCGGCGGACGGGUGAGUAACGCGUAGGCAACCUGCCCCAUACAAAGGGAUAGCAUUUGGAAACGAAUGUUAAUACCUUAUGAAACUUAACUAGUGCAUGCUAGGUAGGUCAAAGAUUUAUCGGUAUGGGAUGGGCCUGCGUCUGAUUAGCUAGUUGGUGAGGUAACGGCUCACCAAGGCGACGAUCAGUAGCCGACCUGAGAGGGUGAACGGCCACAUUGGAACUGAGACACGGUCCAAACUCCUACGGGAGGCAGCAGUGGGGAAUAUUGCACAAUGGGGGAAACCCUGAUGCAGCAACGCCGCGUGAACGAUGAAGGCCUUUGGGUCGUAAAGUUCUGUUCUAGGUGAUGAAAACUGACAGUAACCUAGGAGAAAGCCCCGGCUAACUCCGUG
rnacentral:rRNA from 1 species